CACAACAAAAUUACUAGUAGCUAAUAACGCACAAGAAAAUUGACAUAAUUCCGAAUAUUAUUUUCCACAAGUCAUUGUCAAUUCCUAACAAGCUAACAAGUUACAUGCAACACAUUAAAAGUUAGUGCUUAACAUUAUCACUAAUUAAUUCCAAGUCUAAUGACUAAGAAACUAAAUUCAAAAUCAUCUAAAGCCACAAAGCACCAGCAUCUUUGAAGAGAGGGAACAAGCAGAGAGCCCAUUAAUACCACCUCC
rnacentral:lncRNA from 1 species